rnacentral:misc_RNA from 1 species
GACGGAGGGGGCAAGCGUUGUUCGGAAUUACUGGGCGUAAAGCGCGCGCAGGCGGAUGAGGCAAGUCGGAAGUGAAAUCCCGGGGCUCAACUCCGGGGCUGCUCCCGAUACUGCCCGUCUAGGGACCGGUAGGGGCUGGUGGAAUUCCCGGUGUAGCGGUGGAAUGCGUAGAUAUCGGGAAGAACACCCGUGGCGAAGGCGGCCAGCUGGGCCGGGUCCGACGCUGAGGCGCGAAAGCGUGGGGAGCAAACAGG